GACGAACGCUGGCGGCGUGCUUAACACAUGCAAGUCGAACGGAAAGGCCCUGCUUUUGUGGGGUGCUCGAGUGGCGAACGGGUGAGUAACACGUGAGUAACCUGCCCUUGACUUUGGGAUAACUUCAGGAAACUGGGGCUAAUACCGGAUAGGAGCUCCUGCUGCAUGGUGGGGGUUGGAAAGUUUCGGCGGUUGGGGAUGGACUCGCGGCUUAUCAGCUUGUUGGUGGGGUAGUGGCUUACCAAGGCUUUGACGGGUAGCCGGCCUGAGAGGGUGACCGGCCACAUUAGGACUGAGAGACGGCGCAGACUCCAACGGGAGGCAGCAGUGGGGAAUAUUACACAGUGAGCGGGAGCCUGAUACAGCAGCGCCGCGUGCGUGAUGACGUCCUUCGGGUUGUGAACCGCAUUAGCCUGUGACGCAGCGUGAGUGACGGUAAUGGAUGAAGAAGCACCGGCUAACUACGUG
rnacentral:rRNA from 1 species